GCCUAACACAUGCAAGCCGAGGGGUAAGUCUCUUUCGGGAGAACACGACCGGCGCACGGGUGAGUAACGCGUAUGCAACCUACCUUUGGCACGGGGACAGCCCGGGGAAACCCGGAUUAAUACCCGGUAUAGUCUGUUAUACACCUGUAUAAAAGACGAGAGCUACGGCGGCCAAAGAUGGGCAUGCGUGCCAUUAGUUAGUUGGUAGGGUAACGGCCUACCAAGGCAUCGAUGGCUACGGGGUCUAAAAGGAUGAGCCCGCACACUGGUACUGAGACACGGACCAGACUCCUACGGGAGGCAGCAGUGAGGAAUAUUGGUCAAUGGGUGGAAGCCUGAACCAGCCAUGCCGCGUGCAGGAAGACGGCCUUAUGGGUUGUAAACUGCUUUUCUACGGGACGAACGGCUCUGACGUGUCAGAGAUUGACGGUACCGUAGGAAUAAGCAUCGGCUAACUCCGUGCCAGCAGCCGCGGUAAUACGGAGGAUGCGAGCGUUAUCCGGAUUUAUUAGGUUUAAAGGGUGCGUAGGCUGGGCAAUAAGUCAGUGGUGAAAGUCCGCGGCUCAACCGUGGGAUUGCCAUUGAAACUGUUGUUCUUGAGUACAGUCGAGGUAGGCGGAAUGUGUAAUGUAGCGGUGAAAUGCAUAGAUAUUACCCAGAACACCGAUUGCGUAGGCAGCUUACCAGCCUGGAACUGACGCUGAUGCACGAAAGCGUGGGGAGCGAACAGGAUUAGAUACCCUGGUAGUCCACGCCGUAAACGAUGAUCACUCGCUGUUGGCCAAUUAUAGAGUCAAGCGGGCUGAGCGGAAAAGCAAUUAAGUGAUGCCACCUGGGGAGUACGUCGGCAACGAUUAAACUUCAAAGGAAUUG
rnacentral:rRNA from 1 species